UACGAAGGGGGCGAGCGUUGUUCGGAAUCACUGGGCGUAAAGGGCGCGUAGGCGGCCCUCCUUGUCGCGUGUGAAAGCCCAGAGCUCAACUCUGGAAUUGCCUUUGAGACUGAGUGGCUUGAGUACGGGAGAGGUGAGUGGAAUUCCCAGUGUAGAGGUGAAAUUCGUAGAUAUUGGGAAGAACACCGGUGGCGAAGGCGGCUCACUGGCCCGUAACUGACGCUCAUGCACGACAGCGUGGGGAUCAAACAGG
rnacentral:rRNA from 1 species